rnacentral:lncRNA from 10 species
AUUGUCACCAUUUGGCAAUUACUGAUGGAGAAGGAAAUCUCACUCCCUGCUGCAUAUACAUGUGGAUGAAAGGAAAGCAAUAUUUAUGGCUCAUGCUUGGAGACCAGAUGCUGUGUGGCAUCUCUCCUUCUAGGACUUUCAGAGAAACUGAAAGCGAGGAGCGCAGCCGCGGAGAGAAGAGAGAUGGAGUCUCACUCUGUUGCCCAGGCUGGAAUGCAGUGGCACAAUCUCGGC